AUUGAACGCUGGCGGCAUGCCUUACACAUGCAAGUCGAACGGCAGCACGGGAGCAAUCCUGGUGGCGAGUGGCGAACGGGUGAGUAAAGUAUCGGAACGAGCCCAGUCGUGGGGGAUAACGUAGCGAAAGUUACGCUAAUACCGCAUACGAUCUAUGGAUGAAAGCGGGGGAUCGCAAGACCUCGCGCGAUUGGAGCGGCCGAUAUCAGAUUAGGUAGUUGGUGGGGUAAAGGCUCACCAAGCCGACGAUCCGUAGCUGGUCUGAGAGGACGACCAGCCACACUGGGACUGAGACACGGCCCAGACUCCUACGGGAGGCAGCAGUGGGGAAUUUUGGACAAUGGGCGAAAGCCUGAUCCAGCCAUGCCGCGUGCAGGAUGAAGGCCUUCGGGUUGUAAACUGCUUUUGUACGGAACGAAAAGGUUUGGCCUAAUAAGCUGAGCUCAUGACGGUACCGUAAGAAUAAGCACCGGCUAACUACGUGCCAGCCGCCGCGGUAA
rnacentral:rRNA from 1 species